rnacentral:rRNA from 1 species
AUGGUUGACUCCCUUUCCCACAUCCUGACCCGGGCUGCGGCUGCUGGCCAUACUACCCCUUUCAGCUCCCAUCUUGCUCCUAAUGACAUUUCCCACCUCCGAUACGCGGAUGAUACCAUCAUUAUGGUGGAGCUUAACGAUGAAAGUGUGGCCCAGUUGAAAUUCCUUCUCCUUUGCUUCAAAGCUCUCUUUGGACUCAAAAUUAUUUUUGCCAAGAGUGAAGUUAUUGUUACGUGGGUGUCGGAUGCUGAGGCUCUUAGAGUGGCUCAUUUAUUAAACUGUUCUCUAGGCUCUUUCCCUUUCAAAUACCUUGGCUUACCAAUCUCCCCCAACAAGUUGUUGACGAAAGAUUUCGCCUCGGCCAUUUCGAAAGUGGGCAACCAGGUGCUGCCUUGUAGAGGCCGCUAUAACACCCAAGCUAGCAAGGUUGCCUUAAUCAAUGUCUGCCCCUCCUCUCUCCCCAUGUUCUUGAUGGGCUUCUACCUCCUUUCGAGAGGGACUCAUGCUGGGUUUGACAAGCACAGGGGCGCCUUUUACUGGAAUUUGGUGGACAACAAGCAUAAAUAUAGGAUGGUGAAAUGGAAGCUUAUUUGCAGACCCAAAAGCCUUGGGGGGUUGGGCAUUAUUAACACUGCUGUCAUGAACAAAUGCCUCAUCAUUAAGUGGUGGUGGAAAAUCUUGUCCCCCACGGAGGCCCCACUGUGGCUUAGCAUUCUCAAAUCUAAAUACUUUCCUGAGUCUAGUCCCAUGUUCGUGUCGGCCUCUGCCGGCUCCCAAUUCUGGCGUCACCUCGUCAAAGUUUGUCUGUUUUUAAGUCUCUGGUCAAAUUUGUUGUUAGGAAUGGAAAAUCUACGCGCUUUUGGUUAG